CGCACGGGUGCGUAACACGUGGGUAAUCAACCCUUUGGACCGGGACAACCCGAGGAAACUCGGGCUAAUACCGGAUGUCGCGUCGGGAACCUCGGUUCCUGCCGCAAAAGACCCGCAAGGGUUGCCAGAGGACGAGCCCGCGGCCCAUCAGCUUGUUGGCGAGGUAAUGGCUCACCAAGGCUAAGACGGGUAGCUGGUCUGAGAGGAUGAUCAGCCACACUGGAACUGAGACACGGUCCAG
rnacentral:rRNA from 1 species